rnacentral:rRNA from 1 species
GAUGAACGCUGGCGGCGUGCUUAACACAUGCAAGUCGAACGGAAAGGCUCCUGCUUGCAGGGGUACUCGAGUGGCGAACGGGUGAGUAACACGUGGGUGAUCUGCCCUGCACUUCGGGAUAAGCCUGGGAAACUGGGUCUAAUACCGGAUAGGACCACAUUUUGGAUGGUGUGGUGGAAAGUUUUUCGGUGUGGGAUGAGCUCGCGGCCUAUCAGCUUGUUGGUGGGGUAAUGGCCUACCAAGGCGUCGACGGGUAGCCGGCCUGAGAGGGUGUACGGCCACAUUGGGACUGGGAGACGGCCCAGACUCCUACGGGAGGCAGCAGUGGGGAAUAUUGCACAAUGGGCGCAAGCCUGAGGCAGCGACGCCGCGUGAGGGAUGACGGCCUUCGGGUUGUAAACUCCUUUCGCUAGGGACGAAGCGUUUUUGUGACGGUACCUGGAGAAGAAGCACCGGCUAACUACGUG